GACGAACGCUGGCGGCGUGCCUAAUACAUGCAAGUAGGACGCAGUUGCGAACGGGUGAGUAACGCGUAGGUAACUGCCUAUUAGAGGGGGAUAACUAUUGGAAACGAUAGCUAAUACCGCAUACUAGUAGAUGGACCUGCGUUGUAUUAGCUAGUAGGUAGGGUAAUGGCCUACCUAGGCUACGAUACAUAGCCGAACGGAGAGGGUGAUCGGCCACAAUGGGACUGAGACACGGCCCAGACGCAUACGGGAGGCAGCAGUAGUGAAUCUUCGGCAAUGGGGGGAACCCUGACCGAGCAACGCUGAGUGAGUGAAGAAGGUUUGCGGAUCGUAAAGCUCUGUUGUUAAGGAUGCGGUACUUAACCAGAAAGGGACGGCUAACUACGUGCCAGCCGCCGCGGUAGUUC
rnacentral:rRNA from 1 species